rnacentral:rRNA from 1 species
GGACCUACGGGGGGCAGCAGUAGGGAAUCUUCCACAAUGGGCGCAAGCCUGAUGGAGCAACACCGCGUGAGUGAAGAAAGGUUUCGGCUCGUAAAGCUCUGUUGUUGGAGAAGAACGUGCGUGAGAGCAACUGUUCACGCAGUGACGGUAUCCAACCAGAAAGUCACGGCUAACUACGUGCCAGCAGCCGCGGUAAUACGUAGGGGGCAAGCGUUUUCCGGGUUUUUUGGGCGUAAAGCGGGCGCAGGCGG